rnacentral:rRNA from 1 species
CCUACGGGUGGCAGCAGUGAGGAAUAUUGGUCAAUGGGCGAGAGCCUGAACCAGCCAAGUCGCGUGAAGGAUGACGGCCCUACGGGUUGUAAACUUCUUUUGUAAGGGAGCAAUUGAGUCCACGUGUGGGAUUUUGUAUGUACCAUAUGAAUAAGGAUAGGCUAACUCCGUGCCAGCAGCCGCGGUAAUACGGAGGAUCCGAGCGUUAUCCGGAUUUAUUGGGUUUAAAGGGAGCGUAGGUGGAUUGUUAAGUCAGUUGUGAAAGUUUGCGGCUCAACCGUAAAAUUGCAGUUGAAACUGGCAGUCUUGAGUACAGUAGAGGUGGGCGGAAUUCGUGGUGUAGCGGUGAAAUGCUUAGAUAUCACGAAGAACUCCGAUUGCGAAGGCAGUUCACUGGACUGCAACUGACACUGAGGCUCGAAAGUGUGGGUAUCAAACAGGAUUAGAUACCCGGGUAGUC